rnacentral:rRNA from 1 species
AUGUCUGAUGUAGUGAACAUCAGAUUUUACUACGGUCCUGGUACUGUCCAAACAACUGAGAUGGGAGCUGAUAUGAGUGAAUUUACUCACAUAGAUGUGCCAAUGAGCGCACCUCAAACAUGGUCUGUCAGUCAGUUGAAAGAAUGGAUUGCGGCAAGUUUAGGUCUUGAUACUGAAACACACACCGUCGGUGUUCAUGCAUUGUGGACACGGUCAAGUACAAUAAUUUACUUUUAUUUGAGGCCAAUAGAGCGAGACUCCGAUUGGGUGCGGUGGUUACAAGGUUGUGAACGAAGGGGAUGCAAUCCUAUUGCUUUAGUGCUUCCCGUCGUGAAGGGGGUCACUGCACAUGAAGGCCAAGGUGGCAACGAUCCUGGGCAGAGCAGUGUAGGUAGGCGGCUAUCUAUGUCAAAUGCUGGAGAUGAUGGUUACGAACAAGGACAGAGCAGUCAGGUAGAAGGAGGAAAUGCUUAUGAUUAUGAACCAGGGCAGAAUAGUCAGGUAGAAGGGGGAAAUGCCAAUGGUGAAUACAAUGGCGAGGUUGACGCUGACGAGGUAGAUGGGCACAUGCAGGACCAGAUGGAAGAAGAAGACACUGAUGUUGAAAGGGGUUAUGCCGAUGAUUCUGGCGAGUCAGAUGAAGAAGAAAAUGCAGCGGAGGUCCCGAAUCCUGCAUGGUGGAAUCAUGACUUCUCAUCUGCAAUGACCGUGAAUGAUGGACAUGAUUCAGCCAGCAGGAGCCUAUGGAUAUCAUGCGUCUAUGUCGGCAUCACAUGA